rnacentral:tRNA from 7 species
GGGGCAUUAGCUCAUUUGGCUAGAGCGCUUCGCUGGCAGCGAAGAGGUGACCGGUUCGAAUCCGGUAUGCUCCACCA